GAGAAUUUGAGUGACCAAUCUGC
rnacentral:siRNA from 1 species